rnacentral:rRNA from 1 species
AUUGAACGCUGGCGGCAGGCUUAACACAUGCAAGUCGAACGGUAGCAGGAGAAAGCUUGCUUUCUUGCUGACGAGUGGCGGACGGGUGAGUAAUGCUUGGGAAUCUGGCUUAUGGAGGGGGAUAACUACGGGAAACUGUAGCUAAUACCGCGUAAUAUCUUCGGAUUAAAGACUGGGACUUUUAGCCAUUCGCCAUAAGAUGAGCCCAAGUGGGAUUAGGUAGUUGGUGGGGUAAAGGCCUACCAAGCCGACGAUCUCUAGCUGGUCUGAGAGGAUGACCACCCACAGGGGAUCAGAGACGGGGCCGAGACCCACAGGGGGCACCGGGGUGGAGAAUUGCGCGCAGGGGGGGAACCCGAGGCGGACCCGGCCCGGGAAAAAAAAAAGCCCCCUGGGUUUAAAAUUUUUUUUGGGGGGAGGAAAGCGAAAAUGUUUAAAGCGCAUUUUAUGUAGGUGUUCCACAGAGAAAACGCCCGGUAACACCCC